GAGUUUGAUCGUGGCUCAGAGUGAACGCUGGCGGUAGGCCUAACACAUGCAAGUCGAACGGCAGCACAGUAAGAGCUUGCUCUUAUGGGUGGCGAGUGGCGGACGGGUGAGGAAUACAUCGGAAUCUACUUUUCGUGGGGAUAACGUAGGGAAACUUACGCUAAUACCGCAUACGACCUACGGGUGAAAGCAGGGGAUCUUCGGACCUUGCGCGAUUGAAUGAGCCGAUGUCGGAUUAGCUAGUUGGCGGGGUAAAGGCCCACCAAGGCGACGAUCCGUAGCUGGUCUGAGAGGAUGAUCAGCCACACUGGAACUGAGACACGGUCCAGACUCCUACGGGAGGCAGCAGUGGGGAAUAUUGGACAAUGGGCGCAAGCCUGAUCCAGCCAUACCGCGUGGUGAAGAA
rnacentral:rRNA from 1 species